rnacentral:rRNA from 1 species
AUUGAACGCUGGCGGCAUGCUUUACACAUGCAAGUCGAACGGUAACAGGGAGCUUGCUCCGCUGACGAGUGGCGAACGGGUGAGUAAUGCGUCGGAACGUGCCGAGUAGUGGGGGAUAACGCAUCGAAAGGUGUGCUAAUACCGCAUACGUACUGAGGUAGAAAGUGGGGGACCUUCGGGCCUCACGCUAUGCGAGCGGCCGACGUCUGAUUAGCUAGUUGGUGAGGUAAAGGCUCACCAAGGCGACGAUCAGUAGCGGGUCUGAGAGGAUGAUCAGCCACACUGGCACUGCGACACGGGCCAGACUCCUACGGGAGGCAGCAGUGAGGAAUAUUGCGCAAUGGGCGAAAGCCUGACGCAGCGACGCCGCGUGGGGGAUGAAGGUCUUCGGAUUGUAAACCCCUUUCGGGAGGGAAGAUGGGACGAGCAAUCGUCCGGACGGUACCUCCAGAAGCAGCCACGGCUAACUUCGUGCCAGCCGCCGCAGUAAUAC